GGCAACUUACAAUAUCAGUGUUUUAAAGAUUAAUGAUAUCAACAGUCCCAUUUAAACUAUUAUCACGUGGUACAAUUCUCAUUUACAUAUUAUGAAUAUUAAUUAGCAAAAGUACUACUUAUUUCUGGCUAUGUUGAGAUAGGACGAAUGAGCGUUGCAGGAUCAAUUUAUGUUAUUUGAUGAAUGGUCGAAUCAAAUGAAUGAAUGAUUUGAAGAAAGAGUGAUCUUAGCGUAUGGUAGAGUUAAUAUGAUUUGAUGACGUAAUUUUAUAAAAUGUUGAUAAAUGGAUUUUAUUUUUAUUAUUAAGCAGUGUAAUUUUACAUACAUUGUAUCUACGUAGACUAUAUCAACAAUUUUCAUAUACAUUGAUAAAGUAUAACGUAUGCUACAGUCUUUCAUAAUAUGUUGAAAGUCCAGCAUUUUUACAAGUCUAUUUUUCAAAAAUGGUUAAAUUAUAUUAGUAUCUCCUGUCAAAGAAAUGUGCUUUAUUAAUACUAUUAAAAUUGUUAAUUAAACUUUGAAAUGAUCGAAAUACUAAAACUUUCUACCACAGAAAUAGAUAACCUUAGAUGUAUUUAGCAAAACCUUUAGGAAUUGUUUUGUCCGAAUUGCAUUUCAACUCUGUACUUUGUUUGUCCUAAUAUUCAAAAUUACAAGUCUGGUGAGUUUUGUUAUACAAAAACUUUUGAAUUUUAUUAUCCUGAAGUAAAUGAUUGACGGAAGGGUAUUAGAGCUAUUGCAAUAUUUUAAAAAAUUUUACGUUAUAACGCAAAUGUCUGAUUUAUUUCGACAUAAUGCCAACAUAUGUAAAAUAUAAAAAAAGUUUUUGUGGCGCUUAUACUUUCCCGUAGAGAUGCUUGUUAUUUAUAUAUUAUAUAUUAGUUUGGUUGCACGAAAAUUAUUUCUCUAAUUACUAAAUAUUUUGUGUAAUCAUGUUUCAACAUUAAAAAAUAUUUUGAUAAACUAAUAUGUCAUUGCUGUCUAAAGAAUACCAUUGAUGAGUCCUUGGGAGACUGUAUCUGUCCUGUUUUGUAUAUAUAUAUCACAAGGUUGAAUAUCAGUAAUGUUUAAGUAUGUUGAAGGGGCAUUAGCUGUCAAAUAUAUGUUUCCCGUUUGAACUCAGAUUCUCACAUUUUAUUUAUACCGUAAUAAUUGUUUUAUAAAAGAAGUAAAAUGUCUAGAAUAAGCAAUUUAUAAAGCAUGUGCUUGACAAUACAUAUCAAUAUUUCGUAUGUUUUUGUUGUCUAGACGUCAUCUAUUUAACCAACCAGGUGACCUCCGAAGACUGUUCGAUAUUAGAAU
rnacentral:lncRNA from 1 species